GGUGUGGUUUUAUGCUACAUGGUUAUUUCAGUCUUCAGUGUUGUAUUUUUACAGCUCGGGGCGUUAUUUUACUAUGGUGUUCCACGUGGCCAAUUUAUACCGCCAUUUUGUACCGCCAUUUUACCGUUUGUGUCGAAACUUUGAACUGGAUGGAUACAUGGUGAAGCGUGGGGUGGCGUGCAGGUGAAGCGUGCAGUGUCUACUGGACGACCAAGACCGCGGCAAGCAGUGAACAACAAAGUUGUGGCACGAUCUGACCCUGAUUAUGGGGACUCGUGAGGAGCCAGAAGAGCUAAAGGAAAAAGUUACGAACAUCCAGCAAGUGUGUGAGCAGUAUGCGGCCAACGUCCUCCCUGAUACGCCAAUCACCGACGGUGACGAACUGGUGGCGCUACCCGCCUACGGGCGCGGGGCGACGCUGGACGAUCUGAAGAACGAGCAGAGCUCCGUGAGUGUUCAGUCGUCCCGCCUCAACGUUCAGAGAGCGAGUUCGAGCUGCCACAGUCGAAGGUCGGUGAAGUUGCCACAAUCCUUGCAACUCAUGCCGUGUUUUAUCUUCCGUUCUGUUGACCAUGCAAGUGCCUCUUCGAGGUGCUCUACAAGAAGGCCCUAAACAUCUAUUUCACUAAGUAAAGCAUCGUAGAAGAUAGUGUGCUCCCUGGCUGAGUAGAGUGCAAGAUGCGCGUGCGAGAGUACUGGCAAUUGCGGUACGCCACUCUUGUCAUGUCGGCAGCUCAGAUCUAGCACAGACCCACAGACGAAGAGUGUAUACUGUAUACUGCGUGGUCUGCGUGCGUUUCAUGUUUCAAAGUUUUUCAUGUUUAAGCGCCAAGAGUACAAAGUACAGGGUGGCGCACGGAAAACCCCCGAAUUGAAACUUUAAUACCUUCCAUGAUUAUUAACCAAAUUUGAUGAUAUUUUCACACAAUGUACAUACGUAGAUACACGUUUGGGAUGAUAUUCAUCCAAGUUUUAGACAAAUGCAUUCACGCUCAGCUGAGUUGUGCACCUUAACGUGACCACUAUCGUUUUUCAGUACUUUCUCGA
rnacentral:lncRNA from 1 species